GAUGAACGCUGGCGGCGUGCCUAAUACAUGCAAGUCGAGCGAACAGAUGAGGAGCUUGCUCCUCUGACGUUAGCGGCGGACGGGUGAGUAACACGUGGAUAACCUACCUAUAAGACUGGGAUAACUUCGGGAAACCGGAGCUAAUACCGGAUAAUAUAUUGAACCGCAUGGUUCAAUAGUGAAAGACGGUUUUGCUGUCACUUAUAGAUGGAUCCGCGCCGCAUUAGCUAGUUGGUAAGGUAACGGCUUACCAAGGCAACGAUGCGUAGCCGACCUGAGAGGGUGAUCGGCCACACUGGAACUGAGACACGGUCCAGACUCCUACGGGAGGUAGCAGUAGGGAAUCUUCCGCAAUGGGCGAAAGCUUGACGGAGCAACGCCGCGUGAGUGAUGAAGGUCUUCGGAUCGUAAAACUCUGUUAUUAGGGAAGAACAAAUGUGUAAGUAACUAUGCACGUCUUGACGGUACCUAAUCAGAAAGCCACGGCUAACUACGUG
rnacentral:rRNA from 1 species